AAUUGUUUGACAUGUUUAUUUGCUCUAAUAUGUCAUGUCAACACUGAUUAAAUUUGGGUUGAAAAGUGUAUUGGUUUAUUUUGCUCAAACCAAUGUUUUGUUUGGUCAUCAAUUUUGAUUAUGAUGGUCAUUGUCUUUUGAGACAAAAAUUGGAAAGUGGCAUCAGUUUACUAAUUGAUCAUUUGGUCUCUAUUGAAUAACUGAUAACCAUGUUUCCUCUUUUGAGAACUCUAUUGUUCAAUGUCAAUAACAACAUACUUUUUUGUCUGAUUAAUCUUUUGAGAAUCAUUGAAUAUCCAACAAAACAGUUAUUUAAUACUGUUCUAAAGGCUUAUUUUGAAAAAUCAGAAUUCUAAUUUAUAUGGUGAAUACUUUUGUCCCAAAGGGAAUUUCAGGAAAUCAUUUACCAACUAUAAAUUAAUAUUAUAGCAACAUAAAGUACUUCUAACAUAUUUUCAUUUGGCCAAAAUUGUUGAAGCUAUAUGUAUUUUGUGUAUUUUAUGGUUUGGCUAGCUAUGCAGAUAUUUUCCUUGCAUGAUUAGUUUCUGCCCCAAGGUGUAACAAUCAUGCAAUUUGCAGUUGGUUCGAUUCUCCACAACUCGACUACUUCCAUGAUGAAUCUUGCAUAAUAGAGAGUGAGUAGGAAAUUCAAGAAGGGUUAAUGAGUAUAUUCUGCUCAAAAGUGUUUUACUUAUAAAUUAUUGUUUGUUGUUCAAGAAAUUGGACUUGUGAUUUAUAUGUUAUUGAUGGAUAAUUAAUGUGCUAAAAAAUGUUUUCUUAUUCAGAACAACUAUAAAUCAAUGUAUAGUGAAGCAUGGAAUUGACAAGAUUGUAUAUACUUCAUAUGCUCAAAAGUGUUGAAGCUAUAUACGUUU
rnacentral:sRNA from 1 species